rnacentral:misc_RNA from 1 species
GAUGAAGAACGUAGCGAAAUGCGAUAAGUAAUGUGAAUUGCAGAAUUCAGUGAAUCAUCGAAUCUUUGAACGCACCUUGCGCCUUUUGGUAUUCCGAAAGGCACACCUGUUUGAGCGUCAUGAAUACCUCAAUCUCCAUCUUUUCUUCGGAUUGAUGGGUGACUUGGAUGUUGAGCCCUGCUGGUAUGCUAUAUCAGCUGGCUUUAAACUUAUUAGCCGGCUCUGUACUGGAUCGGUUUGACUCGACGUGAUAAUAUUAUCGUUGAGGAUGCAUGUCUCAUGCAGCCGAAAAGUAUCAAAGCAGCUUCUAGCAUGCCUUUAGUGCACUUUUACAUUUUAGACCUCAGAUCAGGUGGGACUACCCGCUGAACUUAAGCAUAUCAAUAAGCGGAGGA